UACCAACGGUUUCAUUACAUAAUUUAAACAGGAUUAUUCAUUCUGCCGACAUAUUAAUAUCACACAUCACUUGUAUUUUGUUGGUCAAUACAAUACAGAAGCCUUGGUAGCAAUGACAUUUAUUAAGCAGGAGCAAAUCGGUAACCAAGCAUAACAUACACACAUCGCAGCUCAGUUCAUAUACAUGCAUCUGCAGAAAUGGAAAACGAAAUCCUGGGUUCAACUCUAUCCUGCUUUUACCUUCUCAUCAAAAGUAAACAGUGUAGUUGUUGAAGAGAUGAAACUGUCUACUCAGCUUUCCAAGAUGACAAUGGAGGGGUCUCAGACUCCUUCCAAGUACUAGCCAUUGGAGGACCCUGAACAUCACCUGCAGCCGCGUAAGACUCGAGUUCAGCCAUUUCCUCUGGUGUGAGCUUCACAGCUAAUGCUCCCACAUUUUGGUUGAAAUUUUCAAUUUUUGUUGUCCCAGGGAUGGGGCAAACAUCGCUUCCCUGAUGGUGAACCCAAGCCAAGGCAAGUUGUGAUGGUGUGCAUCCUUUCCUUGUGGCCAUCGCAUCAACACGCUCAAAUAUCUGGGCAUUCUUCUCGAGACUCUCUGGUUGAAAUCUAGGUAAAUUCUGUAGAAGUAUAAAGUUAUCAGUAAAAGAUCAAACUGGUAGUACAAGUUCCACCUCAGUUUUAUAGGAGAAAUGGACAAGUCUUGUAUGUACACUCAUGCCAGUUCACAAAAAACUGUGAUUUUAGACAAUGAUAUGGUCCUCGCAGCAUUUUUAUUAUAAUAUACUUUGUUACCAGUAGCUUUACAAGUUCAAAUGCUAGUUGACAAAAAUUGUUGAAUUUGAUCCCCCAGAUGCGCUACGAGGUCAUGCUCCAACGUGACGCGGAGGCGCUCCGGCUCGAGGAGGAGGAGGAGGGGCGCGCGCGGCUGGCCGCAAUGCCGCCGCCCUGACAGCGUACCAGGCGGCGUUCGGGUGGACUGGCCCUGCUCAGGUUUUCAUCGACCUCACCGACGACGACGGCGUCGACGACAAGGGCAAGGGCAAGGCCGACAACGUCUAGGGCAGCGUGCGGGGCGGCAGCAGGCGGGCGCAGACUUUUUUAAUGUUUUAUUUAAUGUUUAAUUAGAUCUAAGUAGACUUUGGCCGGAGUUUGACCGGCCACUUAUGUUUAAUUAUGUUUAUUUCGUGCAACCUUUUUGUUUAUUUUCCACGCCAGCACAUUUGGAUCGGUCUUUUCGUUGGACGGUCAAGCCGACCCAUUUUAAAAUACGGAUGUGCACAUCCGCCUGGCCGGUCCAAGCGGACAAAGCGCGUAUCCGUUUGGAUCGCCCUGGUAGAGUUGCUCUAAACGCUCUUAUAUUUCCUUACGGACGAAGUACUUUUACGGUGCUCCAGAACCAAGCUAAAACAAGCAUCGAGGCUACCAGCAUAAAGGCAGUCUUCGGCCCUAUCUUCCAAACUGGAUUGUUUGGGCAUGUAAAGGCUGAACUAUCUAUGGUAACCACUGUUGGUCUCUGCACCACUGCACAUACUCUACCAACGGUUUCAUUACAUAAUUUAAACAGGAUUAUUCAUUCUGCCGACAUAUUAAUAUCACACAUCACUUGUAUUUUGUUGGUCAAUACAAUACAGAAGCCUUGGUAGCAAUGACAUUUAUUAAGCAGGAGCAAAUCGGCAACCAAGCAUAACAUACACACAUCGCAGCUCAGUUCAUAUACAUGCAUCUGCAGAAAUGGAAAACAAAUCCUGGGUUCAACUCUACCCUGCUUUUACCUUCUCAUCAAAAGUAAACAGUGUAGUUGUUGAAGAGAUGAAACUGUCUACUCAGCUUUCCAAGAUGACAAUGGAGGGGUCUCAGACUCCUUCCAAGUACUAGCCAUUGGAGGGUACC
rnacentral:lncRNA from 1 species